GAACCUUUAAUGUCAGACGGGAUUAAGCUUCUUAAAUUGAUGUCGAUCACUAUAGUUGUGCAUCAGAUCAAGACGAUGAGACAACUCUUGUUGAUUUUCAUCCUGAACUUUUUGACAUGUCAAGGUCAGCAACAGGUGACGGUCACUCAAGACAAAAAGUUUGCAGUGAUCCACGUGAACAAUUCCAUACAUUUCCAAUGUGAAUACAGCGGAACAACGGACACCUACAACAUCUUCUGGUACCAGCAAAAAACGGGGAAGGCUCUGGAGCUGGUGGCUUACUCUUAUUCAGUAAAUGACCUGACGGUGGAACCAAAAUUUAAGAAUAUUUGGAACAUAAAAUGAUCCGAAGUUACAAAGUCCUCUCUUCAGUGUGAUAAAACAGACGCUGAGGAGUCGGCUGUGUAUUUCUGUACAGCA